ensembl:lncRNA
CUCUGGGUGGCUGUGUGGAGGAGAGCAGAGGAGAGAGCCUGGCCUGGUCAUCUGCAUGGGAAGCGUCCUGAGGAAGGCAGCUCAGUACAGGGACCUCUGCAGCCUAAAGCCCCCCAACCUGUCGGCCUACCAGAGCUCAGCCUCUCCUGCACAAGCUGGCCACGCCAUCUCUCAGGACUCAGCGCUGCUGAAGGUUCUACAGCCAUCCUUAACCACCAGCUGUUUCCCUCUUAUCCAAGAUUGGUCUAUUCGCUACCUUCCUGAGUAAGGUGUUUGACUUUCUGUGUUGAUUUCUCCAACACAGUGUUGGAUGAUGUCUUUUCUAUCAAGUGCUCCAGCUUUUUCAGGGUAUGCCAGAUUACCUCAUGUGCACUAAUGUGCUCAACCAGGUCUAAUUCAUUUUAGUCUGGAUGUCUUUUUUUCCCAGCAGACCCUCACCUAAUGGUCCCAACAUGCUAAAUCUAAUAUUCCCACACACACUUAAACUUUCACAAAGUCUAAUCGCAAUCUUCCCAAAAGUAUGUGUUUUAUGUUCUUUUGAACUUGGUUAGAUGAGAGCAAAAAGUAAUGAUUCCACAGGAAAAUGUAUAUAUUACCUUUGAUUUUGUCUGCUUUCUCGCAAUAUGGGAUGGGUUUAGUGUGAUAAAAAUUGAUUUUUAAGCUUUUUUGUGCAUUAGCUUUUAGAUUUGAGAUUUUAUUUGCUGGAGCCAUUUUUGAUCAAUGAGCGAAACCCAGAUUUAAAGCCCUGAUGCAAUAACAGCAACAUGCUACCUCUCCCCUGAGCGAUAGCAGCCUGUCUCAACUGAACAGUCAGUCCUCUCAGAUCCUUUGUUUUAAUCUCUCAAUGGCAUUCCACUGUAGAAUUGUGUUUCUUAUUUACUUUGCUUCAUGAACCUUUACCUUAUUGUUUUGUAAUAUAAAAGGCAUUGGGUAUAAAGUUUGAUAGCACAGUGUCUGGAAUUGCUGUGAUUGCAGUUUUCGUUCAUUUUGAACAAGACCACAAACCACCAUAAAUAAGCUGUUGGAUAAAACCAUUUUUUUUUUUACCUCUUUCUCUCUUUCUCUCUGUGGACCUCGACUAAUACGGUUUUAAUGUUUGUUAUUUUAUAACUCUGCUGAUUAGAUAAAAAAAGCAAACAUAUUGUGUAUCAGUUUGCUUCUGAAGGA